rnacentral:rRNA from 1 species
AUACGGAGGGGGCUAGCGUUGUUGGGAAUUACUGGGCGUAAAGCGCGUGUAGGCGGAUCGUUAAGUCAGGGGUGAAAGCCCGGGGCUCAACCCCGGAACUGCCCUUGAUACUGGCGAUCUAGAGUCCGGAAGAGGUGGGCGGAAUUCCCGGUGUAGAGGUGAAAUUCGUAGAUAUCGGGAGGAACACCAGUGGCGAAGGCGGCUCACUGGUCCGGUACUGACGCUGAGACGCGAAAGCGUGGGGAGCAAACAGGAUUAGAAACCCCAGUAGUCC